rnacentral:rRNA from 2 species
UACGGAAGGUCCGGGCGUUAUCCGGAUUUAUUGGGUUUAAAGGGAGCGUAGGCCGUGGAUUAAGCGUGUUGUGAAAUGCAGGUGCUCAACGUCUGCACUGCAGCGCGAACUGGUCCACUUGAGUGUGCGCAACGCAGGCGGAAUUCGUCGUGUAGCGGUGAAAUGCUUAGAUAUGACGAAGAACUCCGAUUGCGAAGGCAGCUUGCGGGAGCACAACUGACGCUGAAGCUCGAAAGUGCGGGUAUCGAACAGG